CCAGCAUUCUCAGAGCAAGCAAAAGCAAACUUACAAAGAAACAUCUGAGAAGGCAGGUGAAGGACCUUUGGGGCACUUAAUGUGGGAGGACAACUGGGAAAUGCAGCCCGGAACUCAAGAAUUGAAGCAAAACUGGGGGAGGAGUUGACGAGACAAUUUGACAGGGGAUCUGACACCUCUGGUCUCUUCAGGCACCCUCAGCUGCUAAGAGGAACUUGACCAUCAGAGACUUGCACCCACCACAUAAGCUGGUCUUAUGGCAUGUUGCCUCCUUCCUGUGAAUGAAGCACUGUUCAGUGGCACCAUGGUGUGUUCUCUGAUGACACUAUAUUAAUGGCAUCUGCACUAUGCUGCCUUCUAUGUGGAGGAUGCCUUCACUUGAGAUUGAUAUUUGGAUCUUCUUGCUCAGUGUGCUGUGGACCUCUGGGACUUAUGUUUGCAAGACACGGCAACAGUAAUGCCUACUCCGGGGCCAGAAUGCACCGGCAACAGCAAUGGUCAACAGCGACCACAUAAACAACUGUCUCAAAUCAUUGUCGGCACCAGCAGACUUCAGCAGAGGUGGAUCCCAUUAGAGCCUGGCUGACCCUGGGACCGGAGAGCAAGCCACCAGGAUUUGCUCUCAACGGCGAGCAACUUCAGACCACGUCUCUGUGCUUAACUCUUAGAAACAUGAAGCUGAGUUUCUGCAGAGUCCAUCAUCCAUGGGCCCAACACCUUCCUUCUUCCUGAUGUAGCUAGCUCCAUCUUCCCCAUGGCAUCAGUUAUCUCUCUCGUGUAUCAAACCGAAGUUAUUUCUGUGUGCCUCUUGAGAUUGUCUUAAUAAAUGAUUCACGGGUUUGACACACUGGAGAUGAACUUCUCACACACCCUGUUCAUGCAGGAGGAUUAAGACAAAGACCACUGUGUUGCCUACUGCAGGCGGGAGUUUUGUUUUUGUUUUUCUCAGAAAGAGGCCUCCCAAUGUCUUGUACAUACACAGAAAUGACUGGGAUGUCCCUAGCAGAUCAGAAGUGCGGUCAUGACAGAUUUAAAGGCACCUACAAAGUAUAAUUCACUACCUCACCACCAUGAACAUGAAUUCUCACAGCACGUUACAGUUCUAACGUGUUCAUGGUCAUGAGGCCACCACAGACAGAGCAGCAAGUGUGGUAGGUAAUGACUCCCUUAUCCACAAGGCGCCCAAGACAGCAGAG
ensembl:lncRNA